AGAGGAUGUCAACUGGUAGGGACUCUGUGUCAUCCUGUGCAGUCACAUUGCCUCUGCAUGAUUUGACAACCCCACACCGGGCCAUCAGCUUGCUGAAAAUGUACUUG